rnacentral:lncRNA from 1 species
UUGUCUAAUCGAGGCAUGGAUCCAAAGGAACUCAGCAUAUAAUUAAAUCAAGAUGUGCAUGUGUGAUGGAGUAAAUGAUAGUGAUGGUGAAAAUGCAUAAGUGAUAAUAAUAAAAUUUAGUUCUCAUUGCUCCUUAUAUUGCUAUCUCUCCUCUUCUUUGAUCUUUGCUUUGGGAGAACAUGGGCUAUCUUUUUCUUCUUCUCUUUUUUUUAAGGUGGGUAGUAGAUACCCCUAAUUCUACUGUCGGACACUUGUCCAUUUUUUCCGCUCAAGUGGGCAUCUUUGUACCCCUAAUUCUACUCCGGACACUUGUCCAUUUUUACCUCUCGUCUCACUCUUUUUCUUUCUUUUUCGAGGUUCCGGGCACUUGCCCCUUUUUAUUUCCUCAUAUAUUUUUGCAUAACCCAUGCCUCUUCUGCAUUAAAUCUUUUUAGAGAGAGAAUAACAAUAUUCGGGACAGUGAGUGAUUAUAUUUUUAGCAAUUUUAAUGAUUGGUGAUGAAUGCUGUGGUAGAUGUGUGCAAGUGAAUAUCUUAAUUUAACCACAUGAAAAGCUCCUAAGGGUCUACACAGCUCGAUUAAACUCAAUGUGAAUAUAGUAAAAGAUGUUAUAGCAAGUAUGGCUGUGGUAGGUAGUUUUGUUAUGCUAGGAACUCAUCAUGUGAUUUGUAAGUUUUCAAAAUAAAUCUCCAGAACUUAGUGUAGUAGGAACAAGAUAAAUAGUAGCUCAACUUUAUAUCAUGCCUUUCUCUUACCUAGACUUUAGUUUUAUGCUUCCCAAAGAUAGUAAGUUUCAGUUUUAGUAAUUCCUGGAAGAAUUCUAAUAUAAAAGCUAGGUACUUGAAAGUAAGCAAACAGAGCAACUGUUCAUCAUUUCCAUCAUGCAUAUUUUUGGUCUUUUUAUUUUUUCUAGAGAUUGAACUUAGCAGGUAAAUAAAGCACACUUAUCUACACACUCUUUUUAUUUUGUUUUCAUGUUUAUAAAGUGCAGUAAAUUAAAGCAAGAAAAUAUUUAUUUGGUUUUCUAAGUUUUUUUUCCUUUUAAGAUAAAUUAAAUACUAAGACAGAAUAGAAUAAAUAAGAAGAGCAAAUAGAAACUUACUUGAUAAAUUGGGGAGAAACUCCCCCAAGCUGGAUGUUGACGUCGGUCUUACCCGAUGUUCCAGAACCGCAUCAUGGUUGUGAUGUUGUCGUUCAUUGUUGUUGUAUCUUGUCUCAGCUCUUCUACUGCAGCUGCAUGGUCCUGGUUCCAUUUUUGUUGCUCUUCCAGGAGUCUUCCAUGUUCUGCUUGCGUGUUCUGGAUGUUGAGGAGGGUGUUGUCGGUACAAGUGAAGAAAGCACCGGCCUCUUGGUAAUAGUCAUUCGUGAAGGCGUAGGAGGCAUCGGAGUAUCGUCCUGCAUCAAAUUGGGGUGGAGGUCUGGAUCCUGAAGCUCCAUAUGGAUCAGUGGAGUACCUGCCCGUGUGAAAAGGCGGGUUUGUCCACUGGUGAUCUUGUCUCUCCGGCCAUGUCUCCUCUGUUGGCUCUUGUGCUUGUGCAUGACGAGCCCAUGGGUCUCGAAGGACUCGUGGAUUGU